GCUGGAAUGGUCUAGUUGGUUAUGACGACUGCCUCACACGCAGUAGGUCCCGAGUUCGACUCUCGGUUCCAGCA
rnacentral:tRNA from 1 species